CUUAAAUAAGUACUAUUGAUUUUAAAAUAGUACUCCUCCUUUUGAACACACAUUUGAAUAGAGAAUAUUUUCUAGAAAUGUUGUUAUGCAUAACACCAAUAUCAGAUUUAUCAUUUAUAAGUUAUAACAGAUUAAAGUUUAGGCAGGAGGACUAGGGAAGGAUAAUAAAUUGACUGUUUAUUAAAAUUAAAAAAAAAGUUUAAAGGAUUAUAAUGAUUAGAAAAUACACAAAUCAAAUUCACUUAAAAUCCCCAGAGAUAAUUAUUGUUUCGUAAUAAAAAAAAAUCGCCUUAUAUAGAAGCAUGCAUGAUUGUUAAUUUUUAUAACAAAAUAUGUUAAUUAUUGUUGUAUAUAAGUAUGCAAUAAUAUAUUUAUAUAAUAAUAAAAAUCACUUUUAGGCACUAAAAAAUAUGAUAAAAAUAGUAAAUCUCCAUGAAUAUUAUUUUGUAUUACGUUUUUACAUACAGAGGUGGCCAAAAGUCACACAACAAAUUUGCAACACAAUUUGUAAUAGUAAAAAAAAUUGUUUAUUUCUUCAAAUAAAAAAAAAUGAUAUAAAAAUGAACAUUACAAAGUAACAUCAUCUCAGGGCAAUUAUAAUAAAUAUUCAAAAUGAUGUCCUCCAGCUUCAAUAACUGCUCCACAACGUUUUUUGUGGCGUUUUAAAGAUACAAAUAAUCGGUGCUCAAAAUUUGGAAUUAUUCCUCGAUUCGCUUUUUUAAAUGGAUCAAAUUUUAGAUUGGCAUCUUGUAUACUCGAUCUUUGAUAAUUCCCCACAUGCUAAAAUCACAAGGUGUGAAAUUGGGUAAUUUUGGUGACCAUUCCCACAGCCACCAAUCCACUUGAAGUUUUUAUUCAAAAAAUCACGAACGACAACCGCAUAAUGGCAUGGGGCUCUAUCUUGUUGCUAGAUAAUUCGCUUACCACAGAAGAUAUCAUUUUUGUAUGUAAACAAGAUAACGAGACCAAAGUUGCUAUAUGGAGGGAGAAACUGCAUACAGGCGUUGAGCGACUUUAGCCACCUCUGUACAUUGUAAGAAAACUAUUAAAUGAGUGCAAAAUAAUAAGUUUGGUAAAAUUGUAUAAAUAAAACAUUUAAUAUAAAAAAUCUAUGAGAGCUAAUCAAUAAGUAUCAAGACUGAUAAUAUUACUCUAAAGGUAUUCUUGUAGAAUCUCCAUAAAUUUCUUCGUUUUGAUUCCACAAUAUUUUUCACGUUUUCACGCGAAACUUUCUACCACAUCUGCAGUUUUUCAAUUGAAAUUUAUUGACAUAAAUCAUAAAAUGUUACAUCUCUCUGAAACUGAAAAAAAUGCAGACUAUAACUAUCAAUUCGCUCUUCCUUUGGAUUCAUUAUAAAAUUGCUAAACUCUUAAAACAUAUUUUACAAAAAUAUUGAUGAAAUCGAACUGAAAAUUACUAUAGAGAAUUAAUAAAAACAAAUGUACUCAGAAAGUCAUAGAAGUUAAUGAUACCAAUCCUACAGAUCUUUGAUUCUCGAUUUUUGGGUGUUACUACCAGUCUACAUACUUUUUGAUUAACGCAUUAUUUUGUAGGUAUAUAAUAUUUACUUGUGUUUAUAUAAACUAUAAUCAGUAAC